rnacentral:lncRNA from 1 species
CUCAGCAGUGUCUGGACCACAGGAUUGGUUGUGACAGCUGGAGGAGGGAGCUCGACUGGCAUCCAGUGGGCAGAGGCCAGGGAGGCCACUCAACCUGCCAUACGGCCCAGGACAACACGCCACGACAAAAAUAACCCAGGUCAAAACGUCAGGAACCUGAGGCUGAGAAACCCCAGCUUAGGGGAUUGUGCUGCUUAUGGGGAUGAGGAGAACUGGCUGGAAGAUGGGGAAGAAGGUGGGAGUGGUGAGAGGCGGGCUGAAUAGAGAAGCAAGACCAGAAGAUGUUACAACCAGAGGGAAAGAGCAGAGGGGGAGGACGGGAAAGAAGCGAGAGGGGGAUCGGGAGAAAGGGAGGUAAGGAAGGAAUCCACUCACCUCACCCCAACUGUUUCUUUCUCUGUUCCCGGUUCACUUUUCCUCCCAAGUGUUACUGCCACUACUGUAACUUGGAACUGGACAUCAGGGAUGAUCCCUGCUGUUCUUUCUAGUGAGCCUGCUCCAUCUCAGCUUAGCCUUCACAAGGCCUCCAUCUCCCGGGCAUUCUAACCUCUGAAGAAAGCUCUCUGUCCCCUGGACUGCCUGUGUGGAGGGUAAUGAACUGGGUCCUUUAAGGAAUGGCACCUGGGUGCCCAGUGGCAUGGCCAGAAGGUGUCUGUGGGGGCCAUGCCUUAGGGGGAUGCACCCAGGGUGGCUGAGAGAGCAACUGCAGGGGUUUCCCCUAAAAUCUCUCCUCCAGACCGUUCUCGAACUUUCCCCACU